AUCUUUUCUACCUUUGCCUUUCUACCCUUUGAAGCCUCAGAUCCCUAUUCUCUUUAUCUUAGUCCAGAAUGAUAUCAGCUGAAAGCAACGUUAAAGAGAAGAGUAAAAUCUUUCUUCUUCAACAAUGGUGUGAGAGGAGAGCUGCCAGAAAAUAAAUGCCACCUUCAUAUAACUGUAGUGAAGUCUCCAUUCUUUAUUGCAAGCAUUGCCAGAUUUUGGAAAAAGCUCCCUAUUUGGAGUCUCCAAAUCAGCAGAUUCCUGCCUCCAAAGAAGGAAGAAAUAUUCACUGCCCAAAUGCAGUUUCAUUCCUUCAAGAAGAAAAGUUCUCUCUCACACUUUCUGAGGGAAGAUGAUAUGAAGACACACAAGGGGAAGGCCAUGUGAAGACGGAAGGAUAGGAGGCAUGCAUCUACAAUGAAUGUCAAAGACUGCUGACAAACCACCAGAAGCUUAGGAAGAGCAAGGAAGGAUUCCCCUAUUGGUUUCAGAAGAAGCAUGGCCAUGCCAUUACCUUGAUUUUAGAAUUCUAGCUUCUAAAACAAUAGGACAAUAAAUUUCUGUUGUU